rnacentral:rRNA from 1 species
GACGAACGCUGGCGGCGUGCUUAACACAUGCCAGUCGAACGAAGAGCGAUGGAAGCUUGCUUCUAUCAAUCUUAGUGGCGAACGGGUGAGUAACGCGUAAUCAACCUGCCCUUCAGAGGGGGACAACAGUUGGAAACGACUGCUAAUACCGCAUACGAUCUAAUCUCGGCAUCGAGGAUAGAUGAAAGGUGGCCUCUACAUGUAAGCUAUCACUGAAGGAGGGGAUUGCGUCUGAUUAGCUAGCUGGAGGGGUAACGGCCCACCAAGGCGAUGAUCAGUAGCCGGUCUGAGAGGAUGAACGGCCACAUUGGGACUGAGACACGGCCCAGACUCCUACGGGAGGCAGCAGUGGGGAAUCUUCCGCAAUGGACGAAAGUCUGACGGAGCAACGCCGCGUGAGUGAUGACGGCCUUCGGGUUGUAAAGCUCUGUUAAUCGGGACGAAAGGCCUUCUUGCGAAUAGUGAGAAGGAUUGACGGUACCGGAAUAGAAAGCCACGGCUAACUACGUG